rnacentral:rRNA from 1 species
UACGUAGGUGGCAAGCGUUGUCCGGAAUUAUUGGGCGUAAAGCGCGCGCAGGCGGUCCUUUAAGUCUGAUGUGAAAGCCCACGGCUCAACCGUGGAGGGUCAUUGGAAACUGGGGGACUUGAGUGCAGAAGGAGGAAAGCGGAAUUCCACGUGUAGCGGUGAAAUGCGUAGAGAAUGUGGAGGAACACCAGUGGCGAAGGCGGCUUCUGGUCUGUAACUUGACGCUGAGGCGCGAAAGCGUGGGGAG